rnacentral:ncRNA from 1 species
ACAGAGGUUGCGGAUCGCAUCAGUAUUCGUCCCGCAAGGCCGCCGAUCCAUAUGAGCGGGAAGAAAAAAGGGCCAUUCGCCGAAAGCCUGUUUGUUCGGCAAGCGAGCAGGCUUGGACGCAUGCUUCGAAAGGGCUGCGACUGUCACACGGCCCCGGGCGGUGUGGUGCGCUGU